rnacentral:lncRNA from 1 species
UGAAGAAUUGAUUAGAGCGGCUGAACAAUAUAAUAAUACAAAUCACUUAGUAAUAGAUUUAUUUUUAUUUAAUAAAGAAACCCACGUAAACAUAAAAGCCACGUUAAAAACAGGCUCAGGAAAAGAUGUGUAGGUCGGAGCGCUUAUGCUUGUAUUUUGUGUGUCACUGUAAAUGCGUAGGCGACGCAUUGGCGGCAUAUAUUACGGUACUAUAGAAUGUAAAUGCGCAAAUAAACAUAGUAACAGGACUAGAGAAGCUGUUACUGAGUGAAGUCUGAUCGUAUUCUGCGAACAGAGUGAAGAGACUCAGGAACCAUUAGCUACUUUUAGAGCAAUGAAGGUGUGCGUGAGGCGCUAUGUCCUCGCAGAAUCAAUUCAAGAAGUGAUCUUGAUAGGAGCAGAACUUGCUGUGCUCGUGUAGUGAAAAUAAAAAGUGAAGUUAUUGAGUUAUAGUAAAGUUUAAAGUGGUAUGGAGUCAUCAACAAGCAAUUCUCAAAAGAAUCAUCAACGAACGAAAUCCUCGACAUGUAUCAUAAUAAGAAAAGGGUGACAAAAAGCUAUGAAGACAUUUCACAGAUUUCGUUGAUACUUUUAUAUGUCAACAAUGCCCUACAAGAAUUCAUAAAUGCAUUUGUAAAGUUUUACCUCUUAUACUAAAACAUAUCCAAGGGUAACUUUUUGUCUUGAAAUAGAAAACUCUAUUUUAAGAGAGAACAUUAACAUCCGUUAAAAAUUGCCGCCAUUCGAAGAAAAAUUUGAAGCAUCGUAAAUGGUUUAAAGAGCGUCAGGUAAAUUGCAAAUAUUUUAUUAAUUAAAAUUAAAAUCUUUUCAUAACAAGAAAAACCAAAUUACUGGAAGAGAAAUGUUAAAUAUAUUUGAUAUACUAUUUAAACUUUAUGUAGCUACACAUAUUUCCUCGGUAAAUUUUAUAACUUGCACUAGCAGUCAAUGUACGAAAUUGCGGUUAACUCAAAUCUGCCACCAGUAGUAACAGAUUCACACGCUAGUUCGAUAAGAAAAACUUAAAGAUGCAGUUACCAUGCAACAAUUCGACAUAUGCUGUUAGAUUUGGGUGAGUCAUAGUGUGAAAUACAACGUAUUCGAUGUGUUGAUUGGUGAUACGCGUUUACUGCAAGCAUUUGGAACCUUAGCGAAAAGGUCGCGCAGAGUUUGGGUGAACCUGCUACACAGAUGACAUUCUUUCCAAUUUGCUAGUGUGCCAUCAAAUAACCUAACAUUGUGUGUAUAUAUAGAAAUUUUGAUGUGUGCAGUUCUAUAAAAUGUGCGUCGCUUGGCCAAUUACACUGCAUUGCCUUUGCCAGAAUACGAA